UUUCAAAACCUAUUUUCACAUAAAAUAGUGAAGAAGAAUUUAAAGAAUUUACAUCCUACAAUAACCACUUCUCCAUCUCACGAUCGACAACCCACACCUAGUCGGAAUACAUUUCAAGUUCAAUAUCCGACAAUUCAUAUUUGGCUCCAACUUCAAAUUGAGGUAAAUAUCAUUUUCAUUUUUUUAGAUUUAAAUGUUUUGAAUAAUUUGUGCUGUAUUUAUGUUACGAUUGGUUGCAAUUUGAUGUUGAGGGGAAAAAAAUUAAUACAAAGGGUUUCAAUUUAAUAAGCGAUCAUAUUCAAAUUUCAAAAAAAAAAAAGAAAAAAAAGAGAGAUUUUCAAGCAUUUUCCAUGUAAUGAUGCGUAGAAUUUUUUGGUUUGAGAAAAAUCUAGAAUUUUUUCUUUAGUUAUUCCCCUUUUUAUUUGGUGUUUUCCUUUCUAUUUAUAAGCCUUUUCAUUUAUCUAUACAUUUUAAUACUUUUUACCUGGUCAUUGAUUCAAUUUUGGAUGAAUAAGGAGUUAUGAUUGUUAUGUGAUUAAGUUUUCUCAAAUACUUAAUUAUUUGAUUUGUAAGUACAAUAAUUUAAAUGCAUAUGAUGGGAGUUUUUUUAUCUUUUACUGACAGUGAACUAUUGAAUUGAUUUAUGGUCAAUUCACAUGUCGUUUGGAUAAAAUUUUUGAGUUCAAUUUAAAUGUGGGCUGAAUUUUUGAGUUGAUAUGUUUUUAAAUUUGAUGUAAUGUGGUUAAAUAUGAGGAUUCAAAUAUCUAAUUCAUGUUAGCAUAUGGAGAAUUCACAUGUAGUUCUUAUGGAACCCAUCUGUCGAGAAUCAAGAUAGACUAUGAUUCUUGACAAUUAUGAUGUGAAAUUCUAGACAGUUGGUUAUUGUUUCUGGACAGUUAUGAUAUAAUGUCAAACUUGUUUCAUUUGCUCUUCUACGUAUGUUACGAAGUAAAUGUAUUACAUAUCAUCACUUGACCUUUGGUAUUUGUUCAUGUUACUGGUUUUUGAAUGGAUUGACAAAUUAUGAUGUCAUUGGAGGAGUGCCUGAAGGGUACAUCGAUGCCGUCUUCUUGUAAAAGAGUUGCAUCAGAGGUGCCCUCAAAUGCUAUCAAUCCAAUUGAAAAUGAAGAAGUGGUGGUGACAAAGAAGCAACGCUCGAUGCAAAUUUGAGUAUCGUCUACUUUGAAUCGAACUCCAUACAUUAGGAGCAGUAAAAAGAGAGGACAAUAUGAAAUAAUUGAAAUUUGUUUAACGGAAAACGAUGUCGUCCAUUUUUGAAAGGUUAAGAAUAGUGGACCCGUUCGGGUUAUGAAACUUAAGUAUAUAAUCUUUGUACUUUGAUGAUGGAAAAUGUUGUGUAACUUAUUUUAAUAUUUGUGUAGUAUACGAAAAUAUAAUUGUUUAGCCAG
rnacentral:lncRNA from 1 species